AUCAGAGUAAGUUAAAAUUUCACAACAGGAAAUGUAGAGAGGCAAAUCAUACUCCCUGUGCACCACUCGAGUAACCACACUGUGCUCUGGGGAGUCCCGGGGCCAAAGGAUCUUCCCUCCCAGAUGUUCUGCAGCUGCAGCAGAGAAAGCAGAUUGUGCUGCUUCAUUGAGGAAAAUGUGGUCAUGUAGGGAAAGUGCUCAGCUGAGAUUUGCAAAGCCACAGAAGGGAAAAGCUCAGGUCCAUUAGCAGGUGUUCAAACCAGGGUGACCUGGUAAGUCCCAGGCUUAUCUGAUAUUUUUUGUUCUUACAGGGGGAACUCAGAGCUGUAAUGUGACUGAGGGUGGUCAGGAGGGAAUGUGAAGCCAUAUUUUCAGCCUGUUCCUUGUCCAUAGCUGAGCUGACUGGAUCAAUCUGCGAUAGGAGAAAAGGCAUUCAUGAAGGUUUCACAGAAUGCAGUAGUUGAGGAAGUUGCUGGAAAAUCUUUGUGGGUCCGGGAGGAACAUCAGACCAGCUUUACCAUCCUAACACCUUGUCCUGCCAAAAACUCCAAAACCAUUAACUAUUGACACAUAUAACCAAGAAGAUUUAUGCAUGUGAACGCUGAAGGCAGUGGUGAAAUUCUGCGCUAGAGAACAGUUGCACAGCAGUGAUUUGUGAAACACUAUGAAGCUGCAUCCUGAGAACAGGAAAAAAAGAAUGCAUGAGCUCCGUUGCCCUGGUUUGUAGAACUGACAACUUGGGGAGCCUGUGCUGGCUGCAGCGGGUAUGUGUGCAUAGUGAGUAGAACAGCCCUUGUUUUAAUUUGUAUUGAUCAUGUACGCAGGGAUUUUCCAAGAUAAUCUAAGGGAAUACACAGCCCAAUUCAAUAAGAUAUGGUGAUUGUAUUUCCCUCAUGGUCCUUGUUAAUUUACUUUAAAAAUAUCUUUUGCUUUAGUAUAUAAAUGCUCCAGAAAAAUAUUUACAGUGAAUGGCUGCCUGAUUUCUUUUGAAAUCUACCCAAUUAACACAACACGACAAAAUAUUACAAAUUGGAAUCAUAUGCAUGAUUUUUCAGUCAUCAAUGA
rnacentral:lncRNA from 1 species